AUGUCAGCAGUGGGAUAUGCAGGGUGCCUUUGCAUUCUGGUGCUGGGCUGGGGGCACUGGGGCUCCCCUGGCAUUACUGAUCAGCCACCACGUCUGCUGGUGCUGGUGACUGCUAGGUCCUAUCUUGGUUGUUCUCUACAGGAGCUGCUGGAAAAUGAGCCCAUGGACCAGCUGUGCACAGCAGUGCGGUACCAAGCCAUGCUUGCAGUCGCUGCCUUGAGGUACCUGCCCAACCUUGGCUUUCCCUGCUCUUCCCCAGGGUACAAUCCUGGAGGCUCUGACCUCAGCUUGGUGACAUCCCCCAUGUGGGCAGGGAAGCCCUCAGCUCUCCUCUGCCCUGGGCUUCUCCAGAAGUCACAGGAAGCCCUGAAGCUCCCUGCAGUGUCUCGGCUCUUGCCCAAGAGCGGGAGGCAUCAGGACUAUCCUCCAGGCCAGUCCUGUGGAGAAGGCACCUCCCAGCCAGGCUCUACAUCCCUUCCAGGGAGCCUUGCCCAGGAGAGAACUUGUUCCACCUCUGCCUCAGCAUCAAGGCACUGCUCCCAACAUCAGGGUCUCUCUAUUUGCAGUGAAAUGAAGGCCAUUUCGGAGGAUGAAAUAAUGCCUCUCGCAUUUAUGUGCUUCAAAGCCAUCUCCUAUCUUCCUCCAGAAGAGGACCUGAACAUCUGCCUUUACAAUCAAACUCUGCAUGCUAUGGAGAAAAUGCUGCAGAAGCUGCUGGUCAGCCAUCGCACCUCCAGCAGAAAGGAGCUGCAGAACAUCUUGCAGGUGCUUCUGCCCUUCACCAAAUCCCAGAGAAAAACUGUGCGUGAGAGGGCCAUGGAGCAGAUCUGGAAGCUUUGUGGUUUCAUGGCCACCGGUUUCUGUGAGGAGCCAUUUGGAAAACUCCUCCAACCUCCUCAGAGAACAGACAUCGUCCUCAUGGCCCUUGAAAGGACCACUGCAGACUGCGUUGAUGAGGACGAUGCAUGGGCCGAAAUUAUACUGAAAGAAGUUCUGAGACAGCCUGGCAUCUGGCUGAUGCACGUGCCAGUGAUUAUGGGGUUCAUCUACAGACGCUUAAAAAGCAACAAAACAUCAGUUCAGCAGACACUCCUCUCAGUACUUGAUGUGCUGGCCUACCAGUUCCCUAGGCAUGUGCUGACAGCUGUGUUGAUCCACCUUCCACAGACUGACAGCACUACUAUGGAUAUGUGGAAGGGCGUGCUUUCUUCUACACGGUCAUCAGAGAGGGUCUUAGAAGCACUAGUGUGCGCAGUACCUCCUUUCCCUGACUGUGAUUUACCAGACAGUGCACUGUACUCUUUUUCAGGGCUCUUUUUCUCCAGUUCCCUGCUUUUUCCUGUCUUGCCCCCCAGAACAGGAAGCUAG
rnacentral:lncRNA from 1 species